rnacentral:rRNA from 1 species
GACGAACGCUGGCGGCGUGCUUAACACAUGCAAGUCGAACGAGUCGCGAACGGGUGAGUAACACGUGGGUGACCCGCCCUGCACUUCGGGACAAGCCUGGGAAACUGGGUCUAAUACCGGAUAGAGCGGGUUGGCCUCGCGGCCGAUCAGUUUGUUGGUGGGGUAAUGGUCACCAAGGCGCGACGGGUAGCCGGCCUGAGAGGGUGGACGGCCACAGUGGGACUGAGACACGGCCCAGACUCCUACGGGAGGCAGCAGUGGGGAAUAUUGCACAAUGGGCGCAAGCCUGAUGCAGCCAUGCCGCGUGUAUGAAGAAGGCCUUAGGGUUGUAAAGUACUUUCAGCGGGGAGGCGUUACCCGCAGAAGAAGCACCGGCUAACUCCGUGCCAGCAGCCGCGGUAAUAC